UACGGGGGGAGCAAGCGUUGUUCGGAUUUACUGGGCGUAAAGCGCGCGUAGGCGGACCUGCAAGUCGGGGGUGAAAGCCCGAGGCUCAACCUCGGAACUGCCUUCGAUACUGCGGGUCUCGAGUCCGGGAGAGGUGAGUGGAAUUCCUAGUGUAGAGGUGAAAUUCGUAGAUAUUAGGAAGAACACCAGUGGCGAAGGCGGCUCACUGGCCCGGUACUGACGCUGAGGCGCGAAAGCGUGGGGAGCAAACAGGG
rnacentral:rRNA from 1 species